AAGAGCAGAAACUUGGAGCAGUUGAAAAAUACUCUCAGAAAAAAAAUGGCUCGAACAGCAGCUCUGGGUGUUUUCUUCAUCCUGCUUUUGUGGAUCAUCGUUCUAUUCCAUUCAUUUGAGAAAUCCGCAGCUCGAAACUCGGUGCUAAUUGCUAAAUUGUCCUCCGUACCCGUGGGCUCCUCCCCUCAAGGCAAACAUAAUCCCUAAGGUGAUCUCUGCAUUGCGAGAAAAGGAAAACGAAGCUGUACUGCAGAAAUACAUGUUCUAGUUAAUAGUGUACAAUUCAGAAGCUUGCAAUGUAGUUUACAUAUAAUUUGUAUUAAUCCAUUUCCAAUGCUAAUAUUCUGUUUAAGCAAGCA